rnacentral:rRNA from 1 species
GUUGUAUAGUCAAGUAAUUAAGUGCAUGUGGUGGAUGCCUUGGCAGUCAGAGGCGAUGAAAGACGUGAUAGCCUGCGAAAAGCUCCGGGGAGGCGGCAAAUAUCCUUUGAUCCGGAGAUGUCUGAAUGGGGAACCCACCUACUUUAAGGUAGGUAUUGCAACAUGAAUACAUAGUGUUGCAAGGCGAACGAGGGGAAGUGAAACAUCUCAGUACCCUUAGGAAAAGAAAUCAAUUGAGAUUCCCUCAGUAGCGGCGAGCGAACGGGGAUCAGCCCAUUAAGUUAUGUGUGUUUUAGUGGAACGCUCUGGGAAGUGCGAACGUAGAGGGUGAUAUUCCCGUACACGAAAGGGCACACAUAAUGAUGACGAGUAGGGCGAGGCACGUGAAACCUUGUCUGAAUAUGGGGGACCAUCCUCCAAGGCUAAAUACUCCUGACUGACCGAUAGUGAACCAGUACCGUGAGGGAAAGGCGAAAAGAACCCCUGUGAGGGGAGUGAAAUAGAUCCUGAAACCGCAUGCAUACAAGCAGUGGGAGCACCUUCGUGGUGUGACUGCGUACCUUUUGUAUAAUGGGUCAGCGACUUAUAUUCAGUAGCAAGGUUAACCGUAUAGGGGAGCCGUAGAGAAAUCGAGUCUUAAUAGGGCGUUUAGUUGCUGGGUAUAGACCCGAAACCAGGCGAUCUAUCCAUGAGCAGGUUGAAGGUUGGGUAACACUAACUGGAGGACCGAACCCACUGUCGUUGAAAAGCCAGGGGAUGACUUGUGGAUAGGGGUGAAAGGCUAAUCAAGCCUGGUGAUAGCUGGUUCUCCCCGAAAGCUAUUUAGGUAGCGCCUCGGACGAAUACCAUAGGGGGUAGAGCACUGUUUCGGCUAGGGGGUCAUCCCGACUUACCAAACCGAUGCAAACUCCGAAUACCUAUGAGUACUAUCCGGGAGACAGACUGCGGGUGCUAACGUCCGUAGUCAAGAGGAAAACAAUCCAGACCGCCAGCUAAGGCCCCAAAAUCAUAGUUAAGUGGGAAACGAUGUGGGAAGGCAUAGACAGCUAGGAGGUUGGCUUAGAAGCAGCCACCCUUUAAAGAAAGCGUAAUAGCUCACUAGUCGAGUCGGCCUGCGCGGAAGAUGUAACGGGGCUAAAACUAUGUGCCGAAGCUGCGGAUGUAUACUUUGUAUACGUGGUAGGGGAGCGUUCUGUAAGCCGAUGAAGGUGUGUUGAGAAGCAUGCUGGAGGUAUCAGAAGUGCGAAUGCUGACGUGAGUAACGACAAAACGGGUGAAAAACCCGUUCGCCGAAAGACCAAGGGUUCCAGUCCAACGUUAAUCGGGGCUGGGUGAGUCGACCCCUAAGGCGAGGCCGAAAGGCGUAGUCGAUGGGAAAAUGGUUAAUAUUCCAUUACUUCUGUGUAAUGCGAUGAGAGGACGGAGAAGGCUAAAUCAGCCUGGCGUUGGUUGUCCAGGUGAAAGGAUGUAGGCAUGUAUCUUAGGCAAAUCCGGGGUACUCUAUGCUGAGAUCUGAUAGCAAGCUGUACUUGUACAGCGAAGUGGUUGAUGCCAUGCUUCCAGGAAAAGUCUCUAAGCUUCAGUUACACAGGAAUCGUACCCGAAACCGACACAGGUGGUCAGGUCGAGUAGACCAAGGCGCUUGAGAGAACUCUGCUGAAGGAACUAGGCAAAAUGGUACCGUAACUUCGGGAGAAGGUACGCUGUUGUUGGUGAUGGAACUCGCUUCCUGAGCUGACGACAGCCGCAGAAACCAGGCCGCUGCAACUGUUUAUUAAAAACAUAGCACUCUGCAAACACGAAAGUGGACGUAUAGGGUGUGAUGCCUGCCCGGUGCUGGAAGGUUAAUUGAUGGGGUUAGCGUAAGCGAAGCUCUUGAUCGAAGCCCCAGUAAACGGCGGCCGUAACUAUAACGGUCCUAAGGUAGCGAAAUUCCUUGUCGGGUAAGUUCCGACCUGCACGAAUGGCAUAAUGAUGGCGGCGCUGUCUCCAGCAGAGGCUCAGUGAAAUCGAAAUCGCUGUGAAGAUGCAGUGUACCCGCGGCUAGACGGAAAGACCCCGUGAACCUUUACUGCAGCUUGACACUGAACUUUGACCUUACUUGUGUAGGAUAGGUGGGAGGCUUUGAAGCUGGAACGCUAGUUCCAGUGGAGCCGUCCUUGAAAUACCACCCUGGUAAUGUUGAGGUUCUAACUCUGUCCCGUGAUCCGGGACGAGGACCGUGUCUGGUGGGUAGUUUGACUGGGGCGGUCUCCUCCUAAAGAGUAACGGAGGAGUACGAAGGUGCGCUCAGCGUGGUCGGAAAUCACGCGUAGAGUAUAAAGGCAAAAGCGCGCUUAACUGCGAGACCCACAAGUCGAGCAGGUACGAAAGUAGGUCUUAGUGAUCCGGUGGUUCUGUAUGGAAGGGCCAUCGCUCAACGGAUAAAAGGUACUCUGGGGAUAACAGGCUGAUACCGCCCAAGAGUUCAUAUCGACGGCGGUGUUUGGCACCUCGAUGUCGGCUCAUCUCAUCCUGGGGCUGAAGCAGGUCCCAAGGGUAUGGCUGUUCGCCAUUUAAAGAGGUACGCGAGCUGGGUUUAGAACGUCGUGAGACAGUUCGGUCCCUAUCUACCGUGGGCGCUGGAAAUUUGAGAGGAUCUGCUCCUAGUACGAGAGGACCAGAGUGGACGAACCUCUGGUGUACCGGUUGUGACGCCAGUCGCAUCGCCGGGUAGCUAUGUUCGGAAGGGAUAACCGCUGAAAGCAUCUAAGCGGGAAGCCUACCUCAAGAUAAGAUUUCCCUAGGACUUUAUGUCCUCUAAAGAGCCGUUCGAGACUAGGACGUUGAUAGGUUGGAUGUGGAAGCAUAGUGAUAUGUGAAGCUGACCAAUACUAAUUGCUCGUGAGGCUUGACUAUACAACACCCAAGCAGUUG